GACGAACGCUGGCGGCGUGCCUAAUACAUGCAAGUAGAACGCUGAAGGAGGAGCUUGCUUCUCUGGAUGAGUUGCGAACGGGUGAGUAACGCGUGGGUAACCUGCCUGGUAGCGGGGGAUAACUAUUGGAAACGAUAGCUAAUACCGCAUAAGAGUAGAUGUCGCAUGACAUUUGCUUAAAAGGUGCAAUUGCAUCACUACCAGAUGGACCUGCGUUGUAUUAGCUAGUUGGUGAGGUAACGGCUCACCAAGGCAACGAUACAUAGCCGACCUGAGAGGGUGAUCGGCCACACUGGGACUGAGACACGGCCCAGACUCCUACGGGAGGCAGCAGUAGGGAAUCUUCGGCAAUGGACGGAAGUCUGACCGAGCAACGCCGCGUGAGUGAAGAAGGUUUUCGGAUCGUAAAGCUCUGUUGUAAGAGAAGAACGAGUGUGAGAGUGGAAAGUUCACACUGUGACGGUAUCUUACCAGAAAGGGACGGCUAACUACGUG
rnacentral:rRNA from 1 species